UCAGGAUGAACGCUGGCGGCAUGCCUAACACAUGCAAGUCGAACGGGGUUUAUAUAACAGAACUCUCCGGAGGGAAGAUAUAUAAACCUAGUGGCGGACGGGUGAGUAACGCGUGGGCAACCUGCCCUGUACCGGGGGACAACAGCCAGAAAUGGCUGCUAAUACCGCAUAAGCCUGCUGUGCCGCAUGGCACAGCAGGGAAAACCACGGUGGUACAGGAUGGGCCCGCGUCUGAUUAGUUAGUUGGCAGGGUAACGGCCUACCAAGACAACGAUCAGUAGCCGGCUUGAGAGAGUGGACGGCCACAUUGGGACUGAGACACGGCCCAGACUCCUGCGGGAGGCAGCAGUGGGGAAUAUUGCACAAUGGGGGGAACCCUGAUGCAGCAAUGCCGCGUGGGUGAAGAAGCACUCCGGUGCGUAAAGCCCUGUCAGCAGGGAAGAAAAUGACAGUACCUGGACAAGAAGCCCCGGCUAACUACGUGCCAGCAGCCGCGGUAAUACGUAGGGGGCAAGCGUUAUCCGGAUUUACUGGGUGUAAAGGGAGCGCAGGCGGCGUGGCAAGUCAGAUGUGAAAACCCGGGGCCCAACCCCGGGAGUGCAUUUGAAACUGCCAUGCUGGAGUGCCGGAGAGGUAAGCGGAAUUCCUAGUGUAGCGGUGAAAUGCGUAGAUAUUAGGAGGAACACCAGUGGCGGAGGCGGCUUACUGGACGGUAACUGACGCUGAGGCUCGAAAGCGUGGGGAGCAAACAGGAUUAGAUACCCUGGUAGUCCACGCCGUAAAC
rnacentral:rRNA from 1 species